CUCCUACGGGGGGCAGCAGUGGGGGAUAUUGCACAAUGGGCGCAAGCCUGAUGCAGCGACGCCGCGUGAGCGAAGAAGUCAUUCGUGAUGUAGAGCUCUAUCAGCAGGGAAGAAAAUGACGGUACCUGAGUAAGAAGCCCCGGCUAACUACGUGCCAGCAGCCGCGGUAAUACGUAGGGGGCAAGCGUUAUCCGGAUUUACUGGGUGUAAAGGGAGCGUAGACGGCCAGACAAGUCUGAAGUGAAAAUCCAGCGCUUAACGUUGGAAGUGCUUUGGAAACUGCCGGGCUAGAGUGCAGGAGGGGG
rnacentral:rRNA from 1 species